UAGCCCGAGCCGGCGAGCCCCCUUCGGUCCUUCCCAGUCUGUCCGCCCCCCUCCCUACCGCCGCCGUCUGCGCCCCAGACGGCCAGACCCAGCCAGUGCGCCUCCGCCUCCGGCCCUCCGUCCUCCGCCCAGCGCCCCAGCCCCAGCGUCCGGCUCCGGCGAUCGGCUUCCGAGCUCCCCAACUUCAGCAGGGCCGCAGCCCACAGGGGAGGUAGUACUGAGGGGUGGGGGGCAGCCGCCAGCCGGGACAUCCAGGGGCGGCGAGUGCGGAGCGCCCCAGCACCAGCGCGGCAGCGCCCCAGCGGCCUGCGGCGCCGAGUACUGCUACGCAAGCCAGCAGCCCAGCAAGGUUCAAGGGCAAGUUCCUGAAGCGGGGAGUGAAGGAGGUCAUCAGGAGCAACAGCAGUGGGAACAAAGGUAACAAUAAUUUAGCAUGUCAGCACCGACCCAGACACUUGAAGAGUUAGCUGAGUAUGAAUAUAUUGUAGAGAAGACUUUCCUUUCUGAGGAUAAUGGGUAUGAGUUCUUCAAUGCUUUUGCAAGGAAUAAAGGGUUUAGUCUAAGAAAGGGGAAGGUUACACGUGCACCAAACAAAGAUGACAUCUCAAGUCGUCAGUAUUUAUGCUCCAAAGCGGGGGCUAGGCAACCUAAAUUCUUGAUCAUGGAAGAUAAGAAAAGGAGACCCCGGCCAGUUACACGGUUUGAGUGUCCAUUUGAGGUGGUGAUUAAACAUAACCCUGAGAUGAAUGUAUGGUAUGUAUAUAAGUACAUCGAUACGCACAACCAUGUUAUGGCCAGAUCAAAUGAAGUAGGUUUCCUCUUCUCACAUCGUAGAAUUUCAGACCGGCAGAAAAAAGAAAUCUUAGCAUACCAGACUGCUGGUCUAAGGAAAUAUCAAAUUAUGGAUGUAUGAUAUGAUUGAUCAUUAUUUCCAUUGUGUUUCUCGCAUUAGGAGAAACGAGUCGCAAUUGGACUGUGAGGCCUCCCAGUCCAUACCAGUGGGCAUUACAGAACAUCAUGUCUUGGAAAACUCAGCAGCAGCUGCUAACUGUUUCACUCCAGCAAAUUUUUAUUUGGUGCAGAAGGAAAUUACAAGGGCAACACUGUAUGACAUUGGGGAAAUUUUGGAGUCUGAUGUUUCGACAAAGUACAUUGUUGCAGCAAGAGGUGGCACCAAGGUUUUUGAAGUGGAAUGUGAUGAUGAGGAGACCCUUGGAAAUGUUAGCUGCAGCUGUUUGAAGUUCGAGUGUGAAGGAAUUCCUUGUUGCCAUAUCAUGGUUGUGUUGAUUACACUUGGUGCUGCGAUGCCACAAUGUUGUGUGCUAAACAGGUGGACACUUAAUGCCAAGUCUGCUAGCUCUUUAGAAACAACUGAUCAUGUGAACUCAAUGAAAGGGACUCGUUUCAGUGAACUGCUUAUGUUGGCAAAACCAGUUUUCGAAGAAGCAUCAUGUUCAAUUGAUGAAUAUAUGAGAUGGAAGGAGAUUCUUGAAGCGGAGCUCAAAGGAAAAAGAAAAAGAGAAGAUAUAGAGGGUGAAUCAAGUGGUAUUGAAGACAGAGAAUGGCUUAGAAGCUGAGGCAGUGAGGCAUCACCAAUAAAUGUCCAAGAUCCUGACAUAGUCCAAAGCAAAGGAGCUCCAAAGAGGUUCAAAAACUUCUUGGACAGGCCAAAUAAAAGGAGGUGUUCAGAAUGCAAGGCAACCGAUCACGACAAACGGACUUGUCCAAAAAUUAAAAGGAGAUGGUGAUGGGAAAUUUGGGUCUCUCCAUGUCUUGAUCAGUUUAUUCUCUAAAUAUUCGAUCAGGUAUUUGCUACGGUCUGCUCUUGGGUAGCAAGCUGUUAUGUACGGGAACAUCUACCACAGGCGACAUCGCAGCUAGAGUGGCACGCGCCCACGACGCCAACUGUUAGAGGAGUCAAGGGCCUAUUGGGCCUUAGCCCAUUAGGGUUAAUUAGUCGCUUGCUUAGGGGUUAAGUAAACCUCUCUAUAUAAGGAGAGGAGAUGUAUCAAUCUAAUCAAGCAAGAGAUUAGAAGGAAAUCCCUUCCCUCUUGCCGGCCGUGGGCGAAGCCCCGCGGCCGGCGUUCCCGGCGCCCAAAACCCUAGCCGCCGCUUUCUCCCACUCGCAGCCCUCCAUCUCGUGAACAGUACCCUCGGUACUGUAGCACCGCGGGUACUGUAGGGCCGCCGCCGCUUCCCUCAGCACUCUCUCCUCUCGAUCCCAUCAGCGUUCAUAACACCAACACUGAUGCGGCAAUUGUAUCUUUGCUUUUUAGAUUUUGUAAGUUGGAACUGGUUGUGUAAAAGCCUGAACCUGAAGGCUAUUGCAAGUACGUAUCAUUUUAACAAAUAUUCGAGUGAAUGUGUAAGUGUUUCUGCGUGUAUAUAUGGCAUCAUUUCACAAAUCUGAAUAA